CUAAUCCUAGUAAAUCUUCUAAGGUCUCUUACUGUUAAAUCCUCUUUGUUAUUAUUUAUUUACAAUUAAUAUGUGCUUAGAUAUAAAUUGUAGCUCAUUGUCUCUAUAAUAUGCGCUGCACCAUGACCUGUUUUUUUUGGUGCGGGAUCGGAUUAUUAAAACUUUUUAGUGGUUAAUUUAUACCGGCGGUAUACAUACAUAUUUAUAGUAAGUUGUUCGUGUAGUGUCGUUUAUGCAACAAGCUCCUCUAAUUCGGUGAGUUGCCGCCAAAUUCUUUGGGUUUAAAGAAUUUAAUGUCUACUACCCUCCAGUAGUUUUAUCAGGA
rnacentral:rRNA from 1 species